AUUGAACGCUGGCGGCAUGCCUUACACAUGCGAGUCGAACGGCAGCGGACCUUCGGGUGCCGGCGAGUGGCGAACGGGUGAGUAAAGUAUCGGAACGUACCUUUCAGUGGGGGAUAACGUAGCGAAAGUUACGCUAAUACCGCAUAUUCUGUGAGCAGGAAAGCAGGGGAUCGCAAGACCUUGCGCUGAUUGAGCGGCCGAUAUCAGAUUAGCUAGUUGGUGGGGUAAAGGCCUACCAAGGCGACGAUCUGUAGCGGGUCUGAGAGGAUGAUCCGCCACACUGGGACUGAGACACGGCCCAGACUCCGACGGGAGGCAGCAGUGGGGAAUUUUGGACAAUGGGCGCAAGCCUGAUCCAGCCAUGCCGCGUGAGUGAAGAAGGCCUUCGGGUUGUAAAGCUCUUUCGGCCGGGAAGAAAUCGCAUGGGCUAAUACCCUGUGUGGAUGACGGUACCGGAAUAAGAAGCACCGGCUAACUACGUGCCAGCCGCCGCCGUAAGAC
rnacentral:rRNA from 1 species